rnacentral:rRNA from 1 species
GAUGAACGCUGGCGGCGUGCCUAAUACAUGCAAGUCGAGCGAACGGACGAGAAGCUUGCUUCUCUGAUGUUAGCGGCGGACGGGUGAGUAACACGUGGAUAACCUACCUAUAAGACUGGGAUAACUUCGGGAAACCGGAGCUAAUACCGGAUAAUAUUUUGAACAGCAUGGGUCAAAAGUGAAAGACGGACUUGCUGUUACUUAUAGAUGGAUCCGCGCUGCAUUAGCUAGUUGGUAAGGUAACGGCUUACCAAGGCAACGAUGCAUAGCCGACCUGAGAGGGUGAUCGGCCACACUGGAACUGAGACACGGUCCAGACUCCUACGGGAGGCAGCAGUAGGGAAUCUUCCGCAAUGGGCGAAAGCCUGACGGAGCAACGCCGCGUGAGUGAUGAAGGUCUUCGGAUCGUAAAACUCUGUUAUUAGGGAAGAACAUAUGUGUAAGUAACUGUGCACAUCUUGACGGUACCUAAUCAGAAAGCCACGGCUAACUACGUG